rnacentral:snRNA from 1 species
AAUGCUUUUCGGCCUUUUGUUAGUAUCAGUUCAUUAUCUGAUACGUCCUCUAUCCGAGGACAAUAUAUUAAAUGGAUUUUUGGAGCAGGGAGAUGGAAGAGGGGCUUGCUCCGUCCACUCCACUCAUCAACCUGAUAUGGUAGUACUUCCAGGUACAUUUCUU